rnacentral:snRNA from 1 species
UACCCUUCUCAGCCUUUGGCUAAGAUCAAGUGUAGUAUCUGAAACGUGAGCCAAUGUCUCACAAUGAUAUCAAAUUUAAGGGGAAAGUUCCACCAGUCUUCAAUAGCUUGCUGCUAGGAACUUCGUGCAUAGCCGUGUGCGUUGAACUACAGAAACUAGUAUAUUGAAGCUCCA